rnacentral:tRNA from 1 species
GCCCUCGUAGCUCAGGGGAUAGAGCAGCGGUCUUCUAAACCGUUGGUCGGGGGUUCGAAUCUCUCCGAGGGCA